rnacentral:rRNA from 1 species
CCCUUAGAUGUUCUGGGCCGCACGCGCGCUACACUGAUACAUGCAACGAGUUUAUAACCUUGAUCUGACGGUCUGGGUAAUCUUCAAACUGUAUCGUGUUAGGGAUCGAUUCUUGCAAUUUUUAAUCGUAAACGAGGAAUUCCUAGUAAACGCAAGUCAUCAGCUUCCAUUGAUUACGUCCCUGCCCUUUGUACACACCGCCCGUCGACUCUACCGAUUGAAUGGUUCGGUGAAAACUUUGGACUGUGGCAUUGUCCUUCAUUGGACUUCGCCGUAGGAAAUUGUUUAAACCUCAUCAUUUAGAGGAAGAAUAAGUCGUAACA